GUUUUGUCUGUCUCUGUCUCCCUCCCCUCCACGCUCUCAUUCUUUCAUACCCAUUAGCCAAAACCAUAACUCUCUCUCUCUCUGCAAAUCCAAUUAACCAAACCCUCCAUUCAUUCCUUUCCCACACACAAACUCCAAAAGAAAAUAGAGAGAGAAAAAACAAAGUCUUACGCAAGAGUGUGUGUGAUCAUCGUUCAUCAAUGGCUAUGGGACCCGAAAGAUCGAAGCCACUACACAACUUCUCCUUACCCUGCUUGAAAUGGGGCACCCAACGUGUACUCAGAUGUGUCAACACCCACCACCCUUCUUCCCUCCAUCGCCGAUCCUCUCAAUUCCAAACACCUCACAACGUCAAAAACGACAACAACGUUGAUGUCGUUCCAGAAAACAUCAUCGGGGAUCUCACAGUUGCUGCCAAGAAGCUCAAAGUUUCAAUUUUUGAAGAUGGGGUUGAAGAAACUACUGCUUCUGUUGCCGUCAAUGUUAUGCCUUGGAAUUUGAGGACGCGAAGAGCUGCGUGCAAAGCUCCACCCCGUGAAGAAGAACGAAGGUUUUUUUAUGUUGGGUGUUCUUCACCUUCUUCCCAUUUGAAGGAGAAGAAGAAGGUGGUGGUUGUCAAUGAGAGAGCCAAGUUUUGUGUUUCUCUUUCUAAGGAAGAGGUCGAACAUGAUUUCUGGGCUUUGCUUGGAACUAGGCCCCCCAGAAGGCCCAAAAAGAGGCCCAGGGUUGUGCAGAGGCAAUUGGAUACUAUUUUUCCUGGCUUGUGGCUGUCUGAGAUCACUGCAGAAUCAUACAAAGUGCCUGAUGUUCCUGAAUGAGGUGAAGUUUGGGGAUGAAAUGAAUGGGAAAACUUUUUUCUGGAUGUUCCAGAUAUUUUUGCUUCCUGACUUCCUAUGUGAUAUAAAUAAUGCUCCAGAACAAAAAAAUAAAAUGAACGAAAAAUUAGUUGUUUUUCAAUUUGGAAAGCAACGCCAUUACUGAAGCGGUUUAAGAGAGUCCUUUCCAUGAGAGGCUUUAGGCUAGACCAGUUGCCCAAAAAGGAGCUGGUAAAAUUAGCACAUGCUGUUUUGUUGGUGAAAUUAGUUCAAAUUUUAUUCAGAAAAUACCUGCUAUGAUUGUCUUUCCAUGCAUGUAUUUUCUAUUUCCACAAGAGAAACCACAGCAGGAAAAUAUAUUUGGCUUUGUCUUCUAUUAUUUUCUUCACAGAACAUUCCAUUGAUGUUGAUUGCAUCUGAACAAGAGAAAAACUGUCACAGCCAAUAUCCCCAGCAAGAAUUUUUCUUGUAUAUAUUGUAUGUAUGAUUAUGAU